GGAUGUCCUGCCCACAAAGUGUCAUGGCAUUUAUGCAGCAGUAAUUUUCUCAAGUUGCCUGCUUUCGGAACAUACACUCGAUUCCUUCGGGCCAUCAAGAUACCAUCUUCCAACCAAAAUUGUCUGGUCUUCCCUUCCUCCGCUAGUUGCAUUAGAGCCACUGCUUGAGGGUCAUUCUUUAAGUUAUCUUGGAUCUGCUCCCGUAAUGUAGUAGUCACUUUGCCAUCAGACAACUGUGCUAAUUGCUGAAG
rnacentral:misc_RNA from 1 species